AUUAGAACGCUGGCGGCAUGCUUUACACAUGCAAGUCGAACGGCAGCACGGGUGCUUGCACCUGGUGGCGAGUGGCGGACGGGUGAGUAAUACAUCGGAACGUGUCCAGAAGAGGGGGAUAACGCAUCGAAAGAUGUGCUAAAUACCGCAUAUGCUCUGAGGAGGAAAGUGGGGGAUCGAAAGACCUUACGCUUUUUGGAGCGGCCGAUGUCUGAUUAGCUAGUUGGUGGGGUAAGGGCCUACCAAGGCGACGAUCAGUAGUUGGUCUGAGAGGACGACCAGCCACACUGGUACUGAGACACGGACCAGACUCCUACGGGAGGCAGCAGUGAGGAAUAUUGCGCAAUGGAGGCAACUCUGACGCAGCCAUGCCGCGUGCGUGAAGAAGGCCCUUGGGUUGUAAAAGCACUUUUCAAUUUGGGAAGAAAGGUUGCGUGUUAAUAGCACGUAGCUGUGACGUUACCUUUAGAAGAAGCA
rnacentral:rRNA from 1 species